UGCUCUCUACCCUGUAGGUGAGGUUGCUAUGCCCACGCGGAAUAUUUUUUCAUCGGGAAGGUUCCUUGUGAGCGUGGUGUGCAAGCCCGUCGCGGAGCGGGACGCCUGAAGCGUUCACAGAUCCACCCACCUAGUUGGUCGUCGUCGUGAGGCCACGAACCCACGGCAGGUGUGGAGAGCAA
rnacentral:other from 1 species